rnacentral:tRNA from 1 species
GCACAUGGCAAAGUGGUUAAGGUAUUCGGUUCAUGAUCGUAAGGCCAUGGGUUCAAUUCCCAGUGUUGCA